AGACAGCAGUAGCCGCGGUAAUACAGAGGGUGCGAGCGUUAAUCGGAUUUACUGGGCGUAAAGCGUGCGUAGGCGGCUUCUUAAGUCGGAUGUGAAAUCCCUGAGCUUAACUUAGGAAUUGCAUUCGAUACUGGGAAGCUAGAGUAUGGGAGAGGAUGGUAGAAUUCCAGGUGUAGCGGUGAAAUGCGUAGAGAUCUGGAGGAAUACCGAUGGCGAAGGCAGCCAUCUGGCCUAAUACUGACGCUGAGGUACGAAAGCAUGGGGAGCAAACAGGAUUAGAUCCCCCGUAGUCCCUGUCUCUUAUACC
rnacentral:rRNA from 1 species